rnacentral:rRNA from 1 species
GACGAACGCUGGCGGCGUGCCUAAUACAUGCAAGUCGAGCGGACGAAUCGAAAGCUUGCUUUUGAUUCGUUAGCGGCGGACGGGUGAGUAACACGUGGGCAACCUGCCCUGUAGACGGGGAUAACACCGAGAAAUCGGUGCUAAUACCGGAUAACACGAAAUGUCGCAUGACGUUUCGUUGAAAGACGGCGCAAGCUGUCGCUACAGGAUGGGCCCGCGGCGCAUUAGCUAGUUGGUGAGGUAACGGCUCACCAAGGCGACGAUGCGUAGCCGACCUGAGAGGGUGAUCGGCCACAUUGGGACUGAGACACGGCCCAGACUCCUACGGGAGGCAGCAGUAGGGAAUCUUCCGCAAUGGACGAAAGUCUGACGGAGCAACGCCGCGUGAGCGAAGAAGGCCUUCGGGUCGUAAAGCUCUGUUGUUAGGGAAGAACAAGUAACGCAGUAACUGGCGUUACCGUGACGGUACCUAACGAGAAAGCCACGGCUAACUACGUG